CCGGUAAACGGCGGCCGUAACUAUAACGGUCCUAAGGUAGCGAAAUUCCUUGUCGGGUAAGUUCCGACCUGCACGAAUGGCGUAAUGAUGGCCAGGCUGUCUCCACCCGAGACUCAGUGAAAUUGAACUCGCUGUGAAGAUGCAGUGUACCCGCGGCAAGACGGAAAGACCCCGUGAACCUUUACUAUAGCUUGACACUGAACAUUGAGCCUUGAUGUGUAGGAUAGGUGGGAGGCUUUGAAGUGUGGACGCCAGUCUGCAUGGAGCCGACCUUGAAAUACCACCCUUUAAUGUUUGAUGUUCUAACGUGGACCCGU
rnacentral:rRNA from 1 species